CCUACGGGAGGCAGCAGUGGGGAAUAUUGCACAAUGGGGGAAACCCUGAUGCAGCGACGCCGCGUGAGUGAAGAAGUAAUUCGUUAUGUAAAGCUCUAUCAGCAGGGAAGAAAAUGACGGUACCUGAGUAAGAAGCCCCGGCUAACUACGUGCCAGCAGCCGCGGUAAUACGUAGGGGGCAAGCGUUAUCCGGAUUUACUGGGUGGAAAGGGAGCGUAGACGGCAGUGCAAGUCUGGAGUGAAAGGCGGGGGCUCAACCCCCGGACUGCUCUGGAAACUGUACGGCUGGAGUGCAGGAGAGGUAAGUGGAAUUCCUAGUGUAGCGGUGAAAUGCGUAGAUAUUAGGAGGAACACCAGUGGCGAAGGUGGCUUACUGGACUGUAACUGACGUUGAGGCUCGAAAGCGUGGGGAGCAAACAGGAUUAGAUACCCUUGUAGUC
rnacentral:rRNA from 1 species